GGCGUGCUUAACACGUGCAAGUCGAACGAUGAACCAGGGCUUGCCCUGGGGAUUAGUGGCGAACGGGUGAGUAACACGUGGGCAACCUGCCCCUGACUCUGGGAUAACUCCGGGAAACCGGGGCUAAUACCGGAUACGAACCUCGACGGCAUCGUCGAGGUUGGAAAGUUCUUCGGUCAGGGAUGGGCCCGCGGCCUAUCAGCUUGUUGGUGGGGUAAUGGCCUACCAAGGCGACGACGGGUAGCCGGCCUGAGAGGGCGACCGGCCACACUGGGACUGAGACACGGCCCAGACUCCUACGGGAGGCAGCAGUGGGGAAUAUUGCGCAAUGGGCGAAAGCCUGACGCAGCGACGCCGCGUGAGGGACGACGGCCCUCGGGUUGUAAACCUCUUUCAGCAGGGACGAAGCGAAAGUGACGGUACCUGCAGAAGAAGCACCGGCCAACUACGUGCCAGCCGCCGCGGUAACAC
rnacentral:rRNA from 1 species